rnacentral:rRNA from 1 species
GACGAACGCUGGCGGCGUGCUUAACACAUGCAAGUCGAACGGGGUAGCAAUACCUAGUGGCGAACGGGUGAGUAACGCGUAGAUAACCUGCCUUUAAGUUGGGGACAACAGCUCGAAAGGGCUGCUAAUACCGAAUGUUAUGUAGGGUUUGCAUGAACUUUACAUUAAAGAUUUAUCGCUUAAAGAGGGGUCUGCGUCCGAUUAGGUAGUUGGUAAGGUAAGAGCUUACCAAGCCUGCGAUCGGUAACCGGUCUGAGAGGAUGAACGGUCACAUUGGGACUGAGACACGGCCCAGACUCC